GCUACAGUUUUACAUGUUAGAUGAAAAUGUUAGGAAUUUCCUAUUAGAAAUUCCUCAGAUAGAGAAUUAAAUAAUAAACAUUUUACAUUUCGAUGAAGCGCUUAUAUCUGGUUAGUAAUCAGGAGUAAAAAUCCCAGCUGUUUUCCUCAAGAGGAAACAGAUGGGUCUUUUACCCUACCUACCUACAUCGUGUGUGUCUGUCUGUGUGUGCGUGACUAUAUUCUGUGUAAGUAUAUUUCUAUGUUUAUAUAUUUGUAGCUGUUGAGCAGGCGUUAUCCUUUCACAUUAACACUACGCUUAUUACUUUAUUUCUUUUUUUUUUCUCUGUCAGUCUAAGUAUCUAUCUAUCUAUCUAUCUAUCUAUCUAUCUAUCUAUCUAUUUAUCUAUCUAUCUAUCUAUCUAUCUAUCUAUCUAUCUAUCUAUCUAUCUAUAUGUCUGUCUAUCUAUCUAUCUAUCUAUCUACCUGUCUGUAUUUAUUCAUUUAUAUAUGUGUAUAUUUCUCAGUCUAUGUAUUCAUAUCACUAUUUCUUUCUCUCACAGUUGAGCAUCAAACCUUCGGGAUUGGCACGCAAGAUCAAACUUCCGGUGGACAUUAUAAUCGGUACGAAACCAUUACAAGAUGUCUACCAUCCCACCUACUUCCAUCAUUCGUUCCCUUCUCCGACCGAGUCCUGUCGUCUGUUCAGUCCCUUCCUCUGCGAUACAGCGUCUGAUCAAGUGUUUCUCACGGAAUCAUCAUUUCACCAACACAUGCUACCCACAGCGCCACCUUGGGAAGAUGAUGACGACAUACCCUGAAGUCCCUAUUUCCGACCAUUCGCAUUUUUGGGGGAAAAAUUCCAUCUCUUACCGUCAACAUGGAAGAAGAAAAUUCGAGAGAACAGUUUCCGUGGCCGUCAGUCUGCUUAGCAACAUGUCUCUAUACGUAACUCGUACACACCUACACGCACAUACACUCCACUCUAUUCACACACACACACACACACACACACACACACACA